rnacentral:rRNA from 1 species
UACAGAGGGUGCAAGCGUUGUUCGGAAUUACUGGGCGUAAAGCGUGCGUAGUCGGUAUUUAGAGUCGGGGGUGAAAUCCCAGGGCUUAACCCUGGAACUGCCUGCGAGACCUCAGUACUAGAGUGUGAGAGGGGAUAGUGGAAUACCCAGUGUAGCGGUGAAAUGCGUAGAGAUUGGGUGGAACACCGGUGGCGAAGGCGGCUAUCUGGCUCACAACUGACGAUCAGGCACGAAAGCGUGGGGAGCAAACAGG